GAUGAACGCUAGCGCUAGGCUUAACACAUGCAAGUCGAGGGGCAGCAUGGUCUUAGCUUGCUAAGGCUGAUGGCGACCGGCGCACGGGUGCGUAACGCGUAUGCAACUUGCCUCACAGAGGGGGAUAACCCGUCGAAAGACGGACUAAUACCGCGUACACUCUAUGUUGGGCAUCCAAUGUAGAGGAAAUGAAAUUCGCUGUGAGAUAGGCAUGCGUCCCAUUAGCUAGUUGGUGAGGUAACGGCUCACCAAGGCGACGAUGGGUAGGGGAACUGAGAGGUUGAACCCCCACACUGGUACUGAGACACGGACCAGACUCCUACGGGAGGCAGCAGUGAGGAAUAUUGGUCAAUGGGCGAGAGCCUGAACCAGCCAAGUCGCGUGAAGGAUGACUGUCUUAUGGAUUGUAAACUUCUUUUAUACGGGAAUAACAAGAGUCACGUGUGGCUCCCUGCAUGUACCGUAUGAAUAAGCAUCGGCUAACUCCGUG
rnacentral:rRNA from 1 species